rnacentral:rRNA from 1 species
AGUGAACGCUGGCGGUAGGCCUAACACAUGCGAGUCGAACGGCAGCACAGUAAGAGCUUGCUCUUACGGGUGGCGAGUGGCGGACGGGUGAGGAAUACAUCGGAAUCUACUUUUUCGUGGGGGAUAACGUAGGGAAACUUACGCUAAUACCGCAUACGACCUACGGGUGAAAGCAGGGGAUCUUCGGACCUUGCGCGAUUGAAUGAGCCGAUGUCGGAUUAGCUAGUUGGCGGGGUAAAGGCCCACCAAGGCGACGAUCCGUAGCUGGUCUGAGAGGAUGAUCAGCCACACUGGAACUGAGACACGGUCCAGACUCCUACGGGAGGCAGCAGUGGGGAAUAUUGGACAAUGGGCGCAAGCCUGAUCCAGCCAUAUCGCGUGGGUGAAGAAGGCCUUCGGGUUGUAAAGCCCUUUUGUUGGGAAAGAAAAGCAGCAGGUUAAUACCCCGCUGUUCUGACGGUACCCAAAGAAUAAGCACCGGCUAACUUCGUG